rnacentral:tRNA from 1 species
CCCUGGUGGGCUCAGACGGUAAAGCGUCUGUCUACAAUGCAGGAGACCCGGGUUCGAUCCCUGGGUCGGGAA